rnacentral:rRNA from 1 species
GACGAACGCUGGCGGCGUGCCUAAUACAUGCAAGUCGAACGCUUCUUUCCUCCCGAGUGCUUGCACUCAAUUGGAAAGAGGAGUGGCGGACGGGUGAGUAACACGUGGGUAACCUACCCAUCAGAGGGGGAUAACACUUGGAAACAGGUGCUAAUACCGCAUAACAGUUUAUGCCGCAUGGCAUAAGAGUGAAAGGCGCUUUCGGGUGUCGUUGAUGGAUGGACCCGCGGUGCAUUAGCUAGUUGGUGAGCUAACGGCUCACCAAGGCCACGAUGCAUAGCCGACCUGAGAGGGUGAUCGGCCACACUGGGACUGAGACACGGCCCAGACUCCUACGGGAGGCAGCAGUAGGGAAUCUUCGGCAAUGGACGAAAGUCUGACCGAGCAACGCCGCGUGAGUGAAGAAGGUUUUCGGAUCGUAAAACUCUGUUGUUAGAGAAGAACAAGGACGUUAGUAACUGAACGUCCCCUGACGGUAUCUAACCAGAAAGCCACGGCUAACUACGUG